UGGUGUAAUCAUACCAACACUAAUGUAUUGGAUCCCAUCAUAACUCUGAAGUUAAACGUGUUUGGGCGAGAGUAGUACUAAGACGAGUGAUCCCUUAGAAAUCCUCGUAUUGCACCCU
rnacentral:rRNA from 1 species